rnacentral:lncRNA from 1 species
AAGAAAGCCCCUAGGAGGAUGAAAAAAAAUCUACUAAAAAUUGAAAAAAAAAAUAGCAAAAAAAAAAAAAAAAAAGAAAGGAAGAAAAGUAAAAAAAAAAACAGGGAAAAAAAAUGAAUAUUUACUAUUAAUAAUUUAUUUCUUAAUUUUUUUAAUUAUUUUUAUUAAUUGAAAAUCAUCUUCAGUUUGAUAGUAACCUUAUCUACCAGUAGCCUUUUGGCUCCACCACGAUAAACAUAUUUUUUUAUUUUAUUUUGAUAUAUUAAUUUUCAAAAAUUACAUAAAAAAAUUAACGGAAAAAUGAAACUACCAAAAGCUAAAAUUAAGAAUAAUUUGAUUAUUUUCAUGGUUUUUGUUUAUUUUUUACACAUGUUAAUAUAAGGGUUUGUUACACUAGUGACAAUCACAUGUUUUCUUUUCUUGCAUGCGUGGGCAAUGAAAAAUGUUGUAGAAAUAGGGGAUUUUGAAAAAUAAAAAAGACAAUACAAUUGGAAAUAAAAUUUAAAAAUUUAAAAAUUUUAAAAAUAUUUUCAAACUUACAAUACAUUUUGGAAGAAUUCAAUUAAAAAUUGAUUUUUGAAACAAUCCAACCAAAAUUGUUUUUUGAAGAAAUAAUUUUAAUUAAAUUUUGAAGUUCUUUUUGAAAAAACAAUUUCUAUAGUUGUUUCUCCUUCAAUGUCAUAUAAAUUGGUAUAAAUGUAGAAAUAGUUUCAAAUCUUUGCCACUUCAAUAAAUAUAAAAGAAAACAUGAUAUUUUUGUCAAAAAUCGUAAAAGUUGGGGAAUAAUGUAAUUACCAAUUUACCAUAGACAGUGAUUGCGUCGCUUGUCGGUAAAAGUCAGUAAAAUGGAAGGUUCAGAUUGAUUCCUUGUGGUGACGUGGUCCUAUGUGGCAGAGCCUUGCCACGUAGUGAGCUCGAGAUCGCCAAUAGUUAAUCAAAACCGCAGGGAAAAGUCACCGUACGAAGUAGAGCGGCGCCACUUGUUUUUGAUUCCGGCAAAACCAUUGCCAGACACUGUUCCACUCCUGCCAAUCCAAUCAACCGGAAACCACCCAACCAAAACCAUCAAAAGCCCCUGGAACCAGUAGAACCCAAAACUUCCAAAAACACACAACCUCGGAUCCAAACGAGUCGGCAUUGCUCUCCACUGCGCGCGCGACACGCCUCUCGACAUUCCUCUUCGUCUCGAGAGAUCCAUCUCUCUCUCCAAUUCUCUGUGGAGAAGAAAAAGUAAAAAGGAAAAAGAGAAGGAGAUUCUGUUCUUUUGUGAGUUCUACUCCGGUUUCAGUUGGUAAAGUUUGGUGCUUUUGCAGCAAAUCGAGAAACUGUUCGGUGAGAUUGUGGCGAUGGAAUCUUCCAAUAAUGCUUCGACGACGAAAGUGAUUACCGGCGACGCCGGAUAUGUACUUGAAGAUGUUCCUCAUUUGAAUGAUUACAUCCAAGGGCUUCCCGUAUUUUCUCUUCCUCAAAUCUCUUUCUCGCUCUACUUAUUUAUGUUUUUUACGUGUUUGUGUUUGAUUGGUUUUGUUUGGGGAUGAAUUUGAUUUUUGUGAUUUGUCUGUUGUUAAUUGAGUGAUUGGAUGAGUACUGAGAUGAACUUCAUCUUGUUUUUGUUGAUUGAUUUGAUCCAUUUUUUUGCGUGGUUUUGCUACUGUUUGGUGAAUUUUAGCUAUUGCAAGUUUGCUGGUUUGUUUUUUGAAGUUUUAGAAUCUGAUGCUGUUGCGUUGUGAAAUUAAAUUAUUAAAGCAUCUGUUUUCAGGCUUUAGAAUAUUAGACAGUAGGGGAGAUGUCGUUUGAAUACACUUUCAUUUUUCUCUUCUUUAUUCUCGAGAGGACAAAUAAUUUUAUUUUAUUUGAAAAGUUUAUAUUUUUUACUUUUUGAAAAUUGAAAAUAUUUUUACAAGGAAAUGCACAAAUUAUUUCCUAUUAUGCUUUUGCUUCCAAAAAUUAUAAAUGGAAUGCAUCCUGAUGAUAUCUUCUCUCAAUUAAGUAUCAAUAGAAAAUUUUGUAUUUUUUUAAAAAUUUACUAGGCUUCCAGUGUUGCACGAACACUCGGGUCAACUGCACGAAUCUUUGCCUAUCUAUUAGCUCUAUUUAAGCUUUUGUCUCCGUUAGAUUAAAGACCGUCAGAUUUUUAUUUUUAUUUUUUAUUUUACUGCAUUGAGUUGUACAUUUUGAUUUCUGGUGAUAUUUCUCAUGUUUUUAAAUCUUAUUUAUUUAUUAUUUUUGACUCAAAGACUAUUCUGAUUUUGGAAAAUGGUUCUACCUGAAGUAGUUUAGUGCAUAUGAACAAGGAAUUGAUUGUAAUGUACAUUGUGAAUAAAAUCUUAGUUACUUACUUUUGGUGCUUGGUCGUGUUGCAGACUUAUCCCAAUCAGUUGCAGACGAACCCCGCAUAUUCAGUUGUUAAGUAAGUUGAUAUUUACCUUCUUGGCUACUUCCGGCUGAUACAAUCUUUAGUUGUUGCACAUGCUUGUGGGUGAACUUUGAAAAAUAUGAUGAUUCCUUGCAUGGAUUUUUGCAUUCAGGCAGUACUUUGUUAAUGUAGACGAUUCUGUGGCUCAAAAGGUGAGUUCUACCAUGUACUGUUUUUUGGUGCCUCUUAGGCAUGAAAAGUUUGGUCCCAAGGCAAAGAAUUUCUUUUGCAUGUUUUAGAGGGGCUAUACUUUUAACCGGAUUUUGGAAUUAUUGACCAUAUCUUCAAAUGUGUUUAUGUUAACCAUUUGUAGAUCGUUUGUCACAAGAAUAGUCCAAGAGGGACACAUUUCCGACGGGCAGGGCCUCGCCAAAAGGUACGUCUUCUUCUUUUCUCGCAGUGCAAGUGGAAUGAUGAUGUAUCAUGCAUAUUUACUAUGUAACUUUUAAUGGUGCUCAGGUGUAUUUUGAGUCAGAUGAAGUGCACGCAUGUAUUGUAACAUGUGGUGGUCUGUGCCCUGGGCUCAACACAGUCAUCAGGGAAAUUGUGUGUGGCCUUUCCCACAUGUAUGGCGUCACAAGGAUCCUUGGGAUAGAUGUGAGUGAUUAUUCUGACAUAACUUUCCAAGAACGCCUAUUCUUUAGAGGUUGUUGUCAGCUUACAUUUUGAUCAAAAUCAGGGUUGUAGUUACAAUUUCUCCCUCUCAGCUGCUUGUAUUUUCCUACUAAGCAUCCUAUAGGUGAAUCUGUAAAUAAUGAUGAUUGAUAAUUCCAUUACCCUGGAUCUAAAAUUCACUUGCCUAUGACUUUUAGCUUUUGUAAAUGUGCAUUGCAUUGCUUUUUAUGAUUUUCAUAUUUUGUUUUCAUCAUUCAAGUGAACACAUUAACUUCCAAAGAUGUGGCAAGAGGACAUGGCAAUGUUAAGAAAUUGAAAAAUUAAAUCACAUUUUUAAAGUUUGAAGAUACAAUAAAUAAGAAAUCAUUUUUUAAUGUGUACUACUGUAAAUGUCAGCAUAGGUGUGAAACAUAUUCUAGAUAAAAUAUCAUUGUGGAAGUAUUUUUUUUUAAUCAUAUAGAAACAUCAUUUAUAGGAUUACUUGCAUCAGAUUUAUUUUGUCUUCCAAUUCCUCUCUCCCACUUCACAGCUAGGUAUUAUCAAUGAAAACAAUUUGGCCUUUGCAGCAGGUAAUUUCCAUUUAACAUUUGGAUACUAUUUGAAGAUAAUUUUGCUUCAACAAUGGAAAUAUUGGCAGAAAACCUAUACCCAUCUCUGAAAAAAUGAGGGUAUGAACAUGACAACCACAGUUGUUGUUAGAGCUUAUUAGAUGAAAUACGCUAUUAUGUCCAGAUAGAGAUAUAAGCACACACAACCUUUGAAAGAAAAUUGGCUUUAAAAAGAAAAUGAAAAAACAAUAUGUAUUAGGGAAUUGCAAAUUGAAGAAAACUUAUUAAUUAAGAUUUAGCUAUUACUUGUAUUAAUAGACAACAGCAUUUGAAAAUAAAAGAAAAUGUUUCACCAAAAUGCAUAAUAUUUUGCAGUAUCAUCACAAGCAUAAAUCAUUAUUUGUUAGUUGUUAAUUUAGUAUUGUCAUUUUCUUUCCUUUUUAAUGUAAUCAAUAUGUUUAUCCAAUGCCUGUGACUGAUGGAUUGUAUGCAUAAAAAAAUAUUUAAAUCACAAUGUUUGAGAUUUUGUUGUACAUGGUUCAGUGGUCUUACCAGAAAAUGAUAUUUGAGGCAUUUGUAGGGAGGAUACAAAGGAUUCUAUUCUCGAAAUACCAUUCCUUUAACUCCCAAGGUUGUGAAUGACAUCCAUAAACGUGGUGGUACUGUCCUUGGCACAUCAAGAGGAGGCCAUGAUACCUCAAAGAUAGUUGACAGCAUUCAGGAUCGUGGGAUUAAUCAGGUGCCUAAAGGAUUAAUUUUUCAUUGUGUUCCUUAAAUGAUGGUUAUUAUGAUUUCUGAAAUUGGAAUUCUAUGUGCAGCUGUAACUGCCAGGGCAUGCAAUUUCCAUGCAUGAUGUUGAUUCAUUUUCUUUUGAUGUUCCAGGUUUAUAUAAUUGGAGGUGAUGGAACACAGAAAGGAGCAUCUGUGAUUUUUGAGGUCAUUUUGUAAAUCAUUUAAUCAUAAAUCUGUGCUGAGCUUGUAUUUGUAGCAUUGUUCACUUAUCCUCUGGUCAGCAUCAUGUCUACCUGUUCUUAACCAUUUCCAUCUGUAAAUAGCAUUCCAUCUUCUACAAGUUCUGAACAGUUAAAAGAAAACACCUUUCUCUCUUAUCCUCAAUGGGAUCAGGUUCUUGAACCUUACCUGCUACUUUGAUUUUCCAAUCCUAAAAGCACUUGGAAAAUAGCACAUCAAACUAUACACAAAGUAUACAAUUAGGGCCAAAAGGCAAAAGAGAGAGAAAGGAAAAGCAAAUACUAACAACCCAAACAAAAACCAAACUCCCUACACCCCUAGAAAGCUGGACUGCCCCCAGAAGGUACUCCCAAAACCAGGAAAUACCCCAAACCUAGGCCAACUUUAACGCCUUAAAACCUGAAAAGAACACAAUCUGCCCCCUGAGCAAGUCUGCAACCAGAUUCCCUCAGCCAAACUAUCAUGAUUCAUCAACCUAUCCUAUAUCUAAACCAAAGAUCACAACCUAAGGGUGUGCAAGGGAUUUCUUGACAAAUCUCAGAUGAAUACUGUCAUUUGUGAUGUCAUAUAUGCACUCAAAUGUUCGUACACAACUAAAUCACACAUUUCAUUGCUCCACAAGGGCUUAUGCAUCGUGUGUGCAUGGGUGUGUGUGUGUAUGUGUAAUUGACUGCUAAAUCUGAUUCUAGAACAAUGUAAUUGAUCAUUGUUCUUUGUGCUAGCUAUACUCAAAUGAUCUAAUCUGAUCAUGCAGGAAAUUAGACGCCGUGGUCUCAAAGUUGCAGUUGCUGGAAUCCCCAAAACAAUUGAUAAUGACAUUCCAGUACUUCUUGCCUAUUGCACCUGAAUUAAUUUUGUUCUUUUCUCCAUCUUUUUCAAUAAACCUUGCAUUAGCCUGUAAUGUGUCUUCACCUUAGACUGCCUUCUCUUGAUUCAGGUUAUUGACAAAUCGUUUGGUUUUGAUACUGCUGUUGAAGAAGCACAGCGUGCCAUUAAUGCGGCACAUGUUGAAUCUGAAAGUAUUGAGAAUGGUAUUGGCAUGGUGAAGCUAAUGGGACGCUACAGUGGUAACUUUUACAUUUAUAUUUGAUAUUCAGAUUUACUUAAAAGUUUUUAACUGUGUAAGUGAAGUGAGGAACGUUGAAUUAUUGGAUUUGUUGUGCAAGCCUCUUCCAAGUAAUCUUGAUUUCCAAUUUUUCCUACAAAGUAUUUGGAUUUGAUGUGCAGGAUUCAUUGCGAUGUAUGCUACACUUGCCAGUCGAGAUGUAGACUGUUGUUUGAUUCCAGAGUCACCAUUCUAUCUUGAAGGGAAAGGUGGACUUUUUGAAUUUAUAGAAAGACGUCUCAAAGAAAAUGGACACAUGGUUAUUGUGAUGGCUGAAGGAGCAGGACAGGAGCUUCUGUCAGAGAGCUUACUUUCCAUGGGGCAAGAUGCUUCAGGAAACAAUCUGCUCCAAGACGUUGGACUCUGGAUGUCUCAUAGAAUCAAGGUAUCUCUCAUGCUCCAAACUAAUUUCACUAGAUUUGACACCUUAUGACCAUUUUAAGUUUUGGUUAUGUGAUUGCAUUUUUGUUCUUGAUUGCACACACAUUAUUCAUUUCAAUACAUGUGCAUCUAUAUGUUCAUCAGGAUUUAAACUCAGUGCAUUUUUCAUGGUUAUUUUUCAGUAUUUAGUGAUCCUUGAAAUAUCCUGGAGUGGUCAAUGCUGUAUUAAACCAAUAUCUCAGUUAUCUUUCUGGUGUUUUUUUUCCCUUCUUAUCAAGCUUCUCUUAUGGAUGUUCACUGAUGUAGCAGUCCCGUUCCUUUUACAUAGGGGAAGCAAUAAAAAAUAGCAGCCCACUGUUCUAAGGCGAAGGUUUUGUGGGAUCUGUUGUUCUCCUUAUUUGGUGUUAAUUGGGUCCUCCCAUUUUCAGUUAGAGACACACUUUUAGGUUGGCUUGCUCCCUUAAAGGAUAAGAAGCGUAGUAAGGUUUGGCGGGCAGCUCCUCUUUGCUUAUUUUGGAUGGUUUGGAAGGAAAGAAAUAGGAUAGUUUUUGAAAAUGAGGUCCUAUCAAUUCAAAGAUUGAAAAAUUCAUUCAUUUGUAAUCUCUUAUCUUGGGCUAAUUCUUCCAUAGUUGAAGGCCCCCUUUCCUUGUUUAUUUUUUUGGACUGGUUGGGUUCUUGUUGAGGGCUGGUAAGGGUUUGUCCUUUUUGUUUCCGGUUUUUUGUAGGUGAUGCUUGUAUACUCCCUGUAUACUCUGGGUCGCCUUUCAUGCCCCUUUUUUAAUAUAUUUCUGUGCGUUUAUCUAUCAAAAAAAAAAUUAAAAAAAAUAGCAGCCCACAUGGUGACUUGAUUUUGUCAGUUUUCACCUGACUGCAAGAAGGAGAUUUUGUUAGCAGGAAAUGUAUUUUGUGCUAUUCAUUCAUUUUUCCUGAUUUCAUAGCAAUUUUCUCUUCUGCUAUUGACGUGUUAUACCUGACGAAUGGUCCUGUAGGCUAUAAGUCCAUAAAAAGAAAUUUUUGUCAGGUAACUUGGAGGGUGUUUGGUAAAUCAACUUAAUGACUUAAUAUAUGUUAAUAAUUUAAUUUAAGUCAUUAAGUAGAUUAAGCAUUUUUGGUAAAAUAACUUGAUAUCACAACUUAAAGUAAAAAAUAACUUUAAGUAUUAAGUUAAAAUAAUAAACUUAUUCUUAAUCUCAAAUCUCUUCGUCUCAUUUGCCCAUAUUUAGUGAGUGUAUAUUUCACAAUCAUGACGUUACAUUCACAAUUCAUCUCUUAUAGUAAAUAUUUUUGUAGUUAUUUUAUGCAUCUAUAAUACUUUAAAUGUGGAUAUUUUAACAAAUAAAUUUAUUGCUUAAUGAUUAUUGAAAAUAUAAAUAUUAGUUAAAAUUAAUGAGGAUAAAUGUCAAUUUUAAUGAUUUAGAAUAAAUUUUAAAUAACUUUAACAAACAACUUUAAUACUUAAAAUAAAAAUUAUGUAAUAAGUAUUAAAUUUUACUAAACACCCUUCAACAGUUUCUUUUUUUGGGUGUUGCAGGAUCAUUUUGCAAGACAGCGUAAGAUUGCCAUUAAUCUGAAGUAUAUAGGUCAGUGACUUCAGAUUUGUGUUUGUUUAUUUAUUUUUCCUUUUAGAUUUGGCUUAGUAACAAUAGAUUCUAAGCUAUCCUGAGUUGUCUUGCAGAUCCUACAUACAUGAUCCGUGCUAUUCCAGGCAAUGCAUCUGACAAUGUGUACUGCACACUCCUUGCUCAAAGUGCUGUUCAUGGAGCAAUGGCAGGUUACACUGGCUUCACGAUUGGGAUUGUCAAUGGAAGACAUGCAUACAUUCCUUUCCAUGUACGUUCUUCACUGACCUAAAAUGAGUUAUAUUUUUAUGCAGUAGAUAAUGGUAUUAAUUGUUCACUAGUCCACAUGCAUUUCCCAAACAUAUUUUCAAGUGACUCCAAACUCGAUAAUUCCAUAAUUCAUGUUAUUCAAUACUAAAUGAUGCAUAUAGGCCUUCCUUGUUCAUAUUUUACAUCUAUAUCAAUUUUCAUAGGUUUAAUUUAGAAGAAUUGCAUGUUUGCUUUGUGAUUAUUUGAAUAAAAGAAUCAUGUCAAACCUCCUGGUUAUUCAUAAGAAUCUACUUGUAUCUAAGCUUCACACCCAAUCAUGGGUUGACAUACCUGGGAAAUCACAUGGCAUGUAACUUAAAAAGAAUGCAUUCCUUUUGACUUCCCAGAAUGCCUGUACUUUCUUCAAUGAAUCACUUAAAUUUGUUGACAAAACAUAUGAACUUGAGUUGAAUUUCUAUAUAUUUAAUUAGUGGCCUCACAAGCACAACCAAAAAGAAUUCAUGGUGUCCUCUCUUGAAUGAAUGAUUUUGCUCUUAGGUUUUGACACAGAACAGUUGAGGUUACAAAACUUUUGUAUUUGACUGAUGUGCAGCGCAUCAAUGAGAGUCGGAACAAGGUUGUGAUAACCGACAGGAUGUGGGCAAGGCUCCUUUCGUCAACAAACCAGCCAAGCUUCCAGAACCCCAAAGAUGUUGCUGAAGUCAAAAAAGAGGAAGCACCUGCCACUGGGUUGCUGGAUGGGGAUAACUCUAAAGAUGACCACAAGCCAGUUGACCAAAAAGCAUAACAGCAUGACAUACAAGGGAGUAUAGCAGUCACCUUUACUUUCAUUUCGUCGCAUCCUAAAUGUUGAGGGGUUCACAGGUGAUCUACCCUUUUUAGUUUAUGAUAUUACUAGCUUAGAAGCAAUGUGUGCCACCGAGAUAUAUUUGUUUGAACUUAAAAACAUUUUGGUGAUAAAAGCAGUGUUGAAUGUUGAGGGGUUCACAGGUGAUCUACCCCAUUUUAGUUUAUGAUAUUGAGAGGCUGUAUGCCGCUAGCUUAGAAGCAGUGUGUGCCACUUGAGAUAUAUUUUUUUGACUCAAAAACAUUUUGGUGAUAAAAGCAGUGUAAUAUUGAUU